rnacentral:siRNA from 1 species
GACAAGGUACGGCCACUUUGAG